GACGAACCGUGCGAACGUUAUUCGGAAUCACUGGGCUUAAAGCGCGUGUAGGCGGGCCGGCACGUCGGUCGCUGAAAUCCCCCGGCUCAACCGGGGAAGGGGCGCCGAUACGACCGGCCUGGAGGGGCGUAGGGGGACCUGGAACUUCCGGUGGAGCGGUGAAAUGCGUUGAGAUCGGAAGGAACACCUGAGGCGAAGGCGGGUUGCUAGGCUGACACUGACGCUGAGGCGCGAAAGCUAGGGUAGCAAACGGG
rnacentral:rRNA from 1 species